GCCCGGGGGCAGCUGCUGCGGGCCGGGCCCGGGCCGGGCUGCGGCACCCCGCGCCCUGCUGCGGGGCACCGGGGAGCCUAGAGCUCGCGGGGCGCGUGGGGAAGAGACCCGCCCCUGGAUGUCCCCGGGCGACCAGCCCCUGCCUCUCUGCACCUCGUCUGGCCCAGCCGGGCCUGAGACGGCACGGGCAACGGGACGCCGCAAACUGUUGUUAGUGUUCGCCGCUGCAGUCGCAGCCUCACAAGAGCAGGAUGGCAAUAAUCCGGGGCCGAGUCACCGUGGAAUUGCUGGGCCGGGGUGAGCUGCAGGGCCCCGAGCCAACCUCCCUGCCUCCAGCGCCCGGCAUGGGCCAGCCUCCGACCCUGGAGCGCGGACAGCGGGGACGCAGCAGCACUCGCCUGCAACCGCAGGGACCCGUGUGCAUUCGCCCUGCCAGGGAGCCGCGCAGCCCCCCAGAGAGGCUCAGGGGCCUGGGCUGGCUGGUGGAGUCGGCCCCCAUGAGCCAAGGGCCCCGACACCCCUGCUCUGCGGAAGGAGCCCUGCCAUGGGGACGGUCCCCUGAGCCAGCGGCGCUGCAGCUGGGAGGACCGCUGCCAAGGGAAAGACCCUUCCCCUUCUCCCAGGCAUUUCUGCUCCAGGACAAAUUCAGGAGCUCCCAGGGCCCUGUGCCCGGCUGAGGCAGGCACCUCGGGGACCCGCUCCCCUUGCUCGCUUCUGGCAUCAUCCCAGAGGACACCACCGCCCCGCGCCAGCCCGCAGCAGGGAGCUGGCUACACCCCUGCUUCGUCCACACUUCACGCCUGAAGCUGGUUUUAAGCACUCCUUGCGCGGCUCAAAGCCAGGACUGUCCGAGUCCCAGCCACAGCUGCUGCCCCGCUGCCGUGGAAAUCCCCGGUGUCCCGGGGUGCUGGGCCGGCGAGGGGAGCGCGAGGGCCCGGCUCGCGGAAGGACUCCGGCUGCCGGUGCCCCUCGCCCUGGCCGCACGCGGGGCAGCAGCUCUCGCGGGGGCGGCCCCAGGCCGGGCGGGAC